UAACACAUGCAAGUCGAAACGUGAAAGUCCUUCGGGAUGAGUAAAGUGGCGCACGGGUGAGUAACGCGUGGAUAAUCUACCCUUAAGAUGGGGAUAACGGCUGGAAACGGUCGCUAAUACCGAAUACGCUCCCGAUUUUAUCAUUGGGGGGAAAGAUGGCCUCUGCUUGCAAGCUAUCGCUUAAGGAUGAGUCCGCGUCCCAUUAGCUAGUUGGCGGGGUAACGGCCCACCAAGGCAACGAUGGGUAGCCGGUCUGAGAGGAUGACCGGCCACACUGGAACUGGAACACGGUCCAGACUCCUACGGGAGGCAGCAGUGGGGAAUAUUGCGCAAUGGGCGAAAGCCUGACGCAGCGACGCCGCGUGAGGGAUGAAGGUUCUCGGAUCGUAAACCUCUGUCAGGGGGGAAGAAACCCCCUCGUGUGAAUAAUGCGAGGGCUUGACGGUACCCCCAAAGGAAGCACCGGCUAACUCCGUGCCAGCAGCCGCGGUAAUACGGAGGGUGCAAGCGUUAAUCGGAAUCACUGGGCGUAAAGCGCACGUAGGCGGCUUGGUAAGUCAGGGGUGAAAUCCCACAGCCCAACUGUGGAACUGCCUUUGAUACUGCCAGGCUUGAGUACCGGAGAGGGUGGCGGAAUUCCAGGUGUAGGAGUGAAAUCCGUAGAUAUCUGGAGGAACACCGGUGGCGAAGGCGGCCACCUGGACGGUAACUGACGCUGAGGUGCGAAAGCGUGGGUAGCAAACAGG
rnacentral:rRNA from 1 species